ACCAAAGCACAGAAAACACUAUAGGGUUUAGUUAGGGCUUUAUUACUGUGAAGAGACACCAUGACCACAGCAACUUGUACAAAGGAAAACAUUUAAUUUCUGGAUGGCUUACAGUUCAGAGGUUUAGUCCAUUAUCAUCAUGGUGGCAUGCAGGUGCUGGAGACAUGGGGCUGGAGAGGUACAUAAGAGUUCUACGUCUGGAGCCACAGGAAGCAGGAAGAGAAUGAGUCUCACUAUGUGUGGCUUGAGCUUCUGAGACUUCAAAGCCCACCCUCAGUGACACGCUUCCUCCAACAAGGCCACACCUCCUGAUAGUGCCACUCUCUAUGAACCUAUGGGGCCAUUUUCAUUCAAACUACCACAUGGUUCAUAUUUAGUUAUAGUAACUAAAACUUCAUAAGCUUCUGAUUCACCAUGCAGGGAGCAGCCAUUUGAAUCUUUGACUUCUGUGAAUCCUUCAUGUGCUGGGCUCCAGUGAGGCCGGGUUAAGAGCCCUGAGAGAAUUGUCUCCCCUCGAGCAGCUGCUGCAACAUCAGGGCCUGGGAGGCCAGCUUCUGGGAAGGCUUUGCAUAAUUAAUUGAGGUCUGGAGCUGGCCUCCUCCUGUCUCUCUGCGAUAUUCAUAUGCACUCCAAACUGCUGGUGAUGUUCUCAAAGGAAGGAACUGAAGAGAAAAAGAUUCUGUUACCUAGAAACCUCGUCGCACAGGACCAGCCUCGGCAGGCCCUCCUGCCCUUAUCUACCAGAUAUGAUUUGAGGAGUCUGUGAAUAGACAAUAUUUCUGAAGUUUUCAAGACUGCCCUGAAGAGAAUAGAAGUGAUACUUGUUAAAAGAAGGUGAUUGGAAAAUACAAAUAAUACAGCAAAGUAUCAGGCAAGUGAAAAACUACCAGACACACUAGAAUAACUGAGCUGUGGAAUCAGCCCAGGAUAGAGAAGAAAAGCUCACAAAAAUGAGGUACAUAAACACAAUGGAAUAUUAUUCAGCACCAAAGAAAAACUAAAUCACACAAUUUCAGUAAAAUGAAUGUGGCUGAAAGACAAUGUUGAGUAAAGUUAAGUCUUACAUGGAAGGACAAGUACCACAUGCUUCUCUCACAUGGGGUAGCCAAAGCAGUCAGCUUGGAGGUAGAGUAGUGAAUGCUGAUGAGAUCGGGAAGUGGAGGAGCAGAAGAAGACAGGAUGGUGUUGAUCAGGACUCGCUGCCUGCAUGUGUGGAAAUACCACACUGAGCCGCAUUAGUGUGUGUGCAUGUGUGUGUGUGCAACACAUGUUAAUUAAACAUUUAAAGUGCCAUAUAAAAAUAUCGUAAGAAGAAAAUGACUAUAUCACCCCAUUUAAAUAGAAAUCACCAGACCUCCAAACUACCGCAGACCGGACCCCUUUCUCUGUUUAACUUGAGUGGAAUCACCUUGCUUGCUUUUAGUUGGAUUUCAAAGACUAAUUAAGGAUGCAUCUGGCAUUGACUUGUAACCACCAUACACUCUUGUAACUGCUGUACUAUUAACCAUCAUUGUUGCAUUAUGGGAAACACAGUGACAUCAGAGCAUCAGGGUAAAGACUUCUGUAUUGGUUCAGGCAAAAUGUGGCAGGAAUCCAGAUGCUCCUGGAGACACAAGGGUACCUGUUGCUGGGUCCCCAAGUUUCUAGCUCCUAGUGCCUCAGCAUGUGACACUCAUGGAAGGGAGGUCUUUAAAGGAGAAAUUGUGUCAGUGAGGUCACAUGGGUGUGGACUUCAUGCAAUCUCUGCCCAUAAGAGGAGGAAAUUUAGACACAUUCUGAAAUGCCAGGGCUGCACACGCAGGAGGCAUGUAAAGGCAUGGGAGGGAGGCAGCCAUCUGCAAAUCAGACACAGAGAGAGGCCACAGAGGAGACCAGAUCUGCUGACACCUUGGACUGUAUUUUAGCAUUUCAGCUCUGAUAGAGAAUGAAUUUCUAUAGUUUAAACUAUGCAGUGUAUGAUAUUUUGUUAUAGCAUCCUGGGCAAAUGAAUGCACUUGUUUUUUUUAUCUACAUUUGAUUUUUAAACUGCACAUUAAAAGCCUAUAUAAACAAUAUGGAUAAGACACUUCUUAACCCAGCUUUGGCUAACAGUUGCAAAUGCGAACAUUAGACCCUUGCUGAGAACCUUAACCACAAGUGGCAUUGUUUGGCAGUCACUGCGAUCAGGUGAUCUGAAGCAUUGACUUGAUCUCAUCUUGGGCUUCCAGGUGGAGCUCAGAGCCCCAUGCUCUCCUGUGAGGGUUCCUCUACCUCAAGGAAGCCUUGCCCGACAUGGAAGGUCUUAGAGAGGAAGAGGAAACUGGAAAAGAGGAAGAGAGGAGGAGUGGGGGGCACUUCUGGUGGGCAGUGUACUUGAGAGUCCAUUUCCCCAUUUAUCAUCAUCCUGGACAGAAGCAACCUUGGGGGAAGAUGCUGCAGUGGACAUCUUGAGAAACUGCCUCUCUCAGGAAAGGUCCUUCACUGGCUGAGCCUCCUGGGAAGGCAUCUGAGUGGCUGACCUUGAUAACCAGGCUGAGAAAGAAAAACAGUAGUUUAUUCAUUUAGCUAUAUGCUAAAAACGCUUGUUUUCAGGUCACUGACUGGGCUGAGGAAACACUUGCAUAUUGGUUUGUCUGCAGCCCCGACCUGGAGUUUGCCAGUUAUCACAACACACUAGAGACAACCAAGAAAGCCAGAGGAUGUUCAGAUCGUCACCGUGGGGUGUCCUGCUGUCUGUUGGCACUUAUGCUAACCCAAGCCUCAGAUCCAGUCAGUGAGUGAUAAAGAAUGAAAAUGAGAUUUGGGAAGUGCUUGCUUUAUGUGUGGAAGGACCUGAAUUCCAUCCCUAGUGCCUGUGCAGAAAACGAGGCGUGGCGGUCGCACAGUUUUAUUCUCUGCAAAAUGCUGAGGCAGGAGGCAAGAACAGCAGGUUAUGCCUGAGACUUGCUGAGCUGUGAGCUGGAGGCUUCAUCCAGGUGGAAGAGUCAAUGCAAGAGCGGGCUGGAGGCCACACUGGAGCGGGCGAUGCUGGUUCUUUUGGAUGAGUCUUUCCUGCAAGCAUGAGGCUGCUUCUCUGAACUCAUGUCCCAACAUGUCAAGUGUCACUUGAGAGAGAAGAUGAAACUGCCUGUGAGAUGGUGUUGAGACUCACCCUGAAGCCACAGGAGGUGACAAAGAGUGACACUCCUAUAUGAUGAAGAUUGACAGAAGAGCUCUUCUCUUGGGCUGUGUUUUCGUGUGAGAUGCUAGGAGGUGGAAAAUGAGGCCAGUUGCCUGGGCUCUGUCACUGUCUGGAUGAGCUCUUCACCUCUGUUGGAUAAAGCAUUGAUCACAUUUGCAGCAGACCCAGUGGCUGACGAAAAUGAAGGGCAGAGAAGGAGAAAGACAGAGCUGUAGAGAACCAGUGGACAGAUCCAGAAUCUUUAUGCAACAUGUUUUCCAGAUACUGAAAACUUGGGUUGAUUCAUGAGAAAAUGGGAAAGGGCAAAGGAAACUGAAUAUCCACAUGAAAACCGUCCCAGAUUCUAGGAAACUGAAUACCUCACCCAAGGCUCAGGAAGCACCAUGGAAAAGGGGUGGAAGAGCUUGUAAGAGGAUCAGAGAGUUUGCUCUGAGAUUGUGUCUUCUAGUAAUAUGGAAGCUACACCAUAAAGUCUCAGCAAUAUGAGAUUCUGUCUUCUAAUAACAUCGGAAGCUGCACCAUAAAGUCUCAGCAAUAUGAAAUUGUGUCUUCUAAUAACAUCGGAAGCUGCACCAUAAAGUAUCACCAACAUGAGAUUGUGUCUUCUAGUAAUAUGGAAACUACACCAUACAGUCUCAGCAAUAUGAGAUUGUGUCUCCUAAUCACAUCGGAAGCUGCACCAUAAAGUCUCAGCAAUAUGACUGCCUGCAUGUGAGCUGAACAAGGAUGACACCAACGAACACCCCAAACUGGGUGGACAGAAGCCCUACGCAAAGAACUAGAGGCAUGUGAGGAAAGCUGGUAAAUGACAUGUGGCCUUUCUCAGGGAAGAGCAUCCCCACUGAUUGCCCAGUGCCAAACUGUCAGCCCUGAAAACAUACAUAUAGGUAGAUUGCACAGAUGGAACAGCUUAUAUUUGGGAGUAUAUGUGUAUAUAUGUAUGCUUCUUAAUUGCAGGCAAUAACAGUAAAAAAAUUAGAAGUCAUGAAUUGGAAGAAGAGUGGGAAGUUAUAUAUGGAAGGGUUUGGAGGGAGAAAAGGGAAGGGGAAAUGUAAUCAAAUUAAAAUCUUAGAAAUAAAAAAUUCUGAGAGACAGAGAGAGAGAGAGAGAGAGAGAGAGAGAGAGAGAGAGAGAGAGAGAGGAGAAUCAGAAUGAAUAGAACAGGUAUUAACUGAUUGAAACAAUGACCUUCAAGCAGCACAGCUGAAGGUCAGAGGGGCCCCUGGGAGUUCUUACUGCUUCUCCAAUAUUAAAAGGCCCCAAACAUGUCUGUUCUCCCUGCCAUGUCCUGGCUACCCUUAAUUGUCAACUUUAUAUAGCCUAGGGUCAUCCGAGAGGCCUACAUCAGUUUGGUCUGUAGAUAGGUCUGUGAGGGGUUUCUUGAUUGUUAAUGCAGGCAGGCCCAACUCACUUGGAGCCACACCACUUCUUAGACAGUUAGUCCUAGGCUGCAUCCAAAACCUCCCCAACUGUGAGUCCAACAGAAAGCCGGCAUGCAGUGCUCCUCUGUGUGUUCUGCUUCAGGUUCCUGCCCCGACUUCCCUCCUGGAUGAAUUGUGACCUGGAAACAUAAGCCAAAUAAACCCUUUCUCCCACAAGUUAUUUUUGUCAGAGUUCCAACAGAAAAGCAACUAAUACCCCCCACUUUUAAGGAAUCAGCAAAGCUGGACACAAAGAUGACAAUCAGAAUUCUCUGAGUGGUGGUCCUCCACAAUAACCAAGAUGAACAUUUAUGGGAGAAAGUAGGAUCUUCUUGGUGAAUCCCUAGCUGAGGAACCAAGGUCAUAAUCAUACUGUGUGUAAAAUGACCCCACACUUGGGAGGUUAUCAGUAUGUGGAUCGUGCUUCUGAGUCUGUUGAUGAAGUUCUCCUGGGUCAUCACUUAUACCGGGGAGAUAGAGGCAUGCAGUGUCCAUGGAUGGAUGAGAAAAAUCUAGAAUAAGUUGGAAUGUCUGAAUAGACUUUGUGUGAUGUGAUUAUGUGCUUUUCCUAAACAUUCCUUGAAGUAGAAAUCAUGGGUAAAAAUAAAUGGCAAAUGGAGAGAAGGUGAAAUGGCAGUGGGGUUAUAAAUAAACAAAUGAUUUAUUGUAAUGAGGGAAAUCUAGUUUUGUACCACACAGCAGCACGUUGGCCGAGGAUGGAGUACCUGUACUGUGGUCAUCCAUACAACAGACCUAAAAUAUUCCUACCACCUUAAUAGUGCUACAGCCAUGGUGAGUUCCUGCCGCAACAAGAGUCCUUAUAUGAAUGGGAUGAUGCUGGUGGAAGUGAACUUUGUGCUUUACCACUCAAAUAAAAGUACAGAAUGUCCAUUAAGGUAUGGGAUGUAAUAUUUGAUGAGGUUAAGAAGCAAUCUAUCUUGUUUAUGCAUUUAUAGUACUGUACUUUACAUGGUUAUUUUAAAGUGUACUUUUUUUCAACAUGUUAAAAAGUUUACUGUCAAACAAUAUUCUGUUUGUGCUAGCAACAGUUUAAUAUAUCUGUUUAUCAUGUCUUGCACCAGUUUAUUUUGUGUUUAAUUUAAUCUCAUAUUGUGUUAUCUUAUAUGUACAUAUAUAAUGUAUAUGUGGCACACUGUCUAUACAUUAAAAGUAUAUGUAUACCAUUAGAGGUAUGUGUGUACCCAGAAGGUGCAGGUUUAAGUGUGUCUUUACCACCUUAUCUUCAACAACUUGACAAAGCUGAAUAUAAGCUGCAAAGCUGAGUAUUUCUGCUCUGGGAAAUGCUGGUCAUACCAUAAGAUGAUGAACAGAACGAAUGGUAAAUGAGUGGGCAGAACUCUACUCAUGCGCAAGCAUCUUUGAAUUCUCAUUUUUCAGAUUGCAUGUACGACACAGGUCAUCUUUUGGGAAGGAGUUUCUGGGAACUCUUCCCAAUUCUGCUGCAGACCAUGUGGUGUAGAAGCCCUAGCUGAUGGAUCACUGUGUACAUAAAAAUCUGGAUGAUCGGAUCUUUAGAAGGAUUGCCUACUCUAAUGGAUAAAAGAUAGCGGUGGUGUUCCUGAUGCACCACAGCUCAUUAUGCAUAAACACAUACCAUUCUUGUUUUGUGAAUAUUAAGUCCAUCCAAUAGAGUAGGAAAGGACAAUGGGUUCUUGAUGCUGUCAGGGCCAUGGGUACCAGAAGACACUCCAUUGGGAACAGCCCUUUACUUCGAUGAGGAAGGCUAUGGGGGGCCUUCGGCAUGCCCACAUCACAUUUUGUUUAGCUGUGACCACCACUUCAACCUGUGUGUGAUGGAUCCAGCAUUUCUGAUGUGAAAAAUGUAUCCUGACUGUAUCCAGGCUGUUGUACAAUGACAAUGUACAUGAUGGGGAAAUGCCUUUGACUUACAAAAUAGAAAAGGGGCUUAACAGAGAGAGUUUCUGGCCUAUGUCUCCUGAGCAAGCUAAGUUUAUUUUCAUGAGCAGUGGCACUGGGAGGAAAACCACUUUAGAAGGAGAAGAGUGGAGGGAGCAUUCUUAUAUACAGAAAGCAAAAGAUGGGAGACAGGUGAUGGGUGUUUUGGGAAAUGGGUCAGGCACACUCACUCAGCCAACACUGCUGGGCAAUACUGUAUGGUCUGGAUGAUCUGCAAUAGUGAGUUUAUUAAGGACACAGCAAGCCAAAAUAAUAGAAGAAGUAGAAAGUGUCAAAAAUAUAGCAAAAUUUAUCAAAUCUGGCAGGAAACAUCCAGCAGAAAUGGACCAGGGAAGCCCCUUUGAGACAGCCUGCUGGAGUUCCCAGACAGAAUGGAGUUCCCUAUGGUGAGGCUUCUAAGCAAACAGAUGGCAGUAGACAGAGAUAACAUCAAAGUGGGCUCUCACAACAUCUAGCACAAACCAACUGGGGAAAUUGAGGCAGCCAGCUAGAGUUCCUGUGGAGCUUUUUCUCCAUCAGUGGGCUUCCCAUGACUGAACUUGGAGCCUUUCCUUUCCAUGGAAGACACUUUUAUGUCAUGGGAUGAACAAAAGAAUGGGGAUGACUUACCUUCCAACUGUCCUCAGGGACACAAUAUAGUUGCCUCUCGGGCUGUUUCAUUGUUCACUCCUCUCCCUGUCACAGAGUUAAGGGGGGGGGCAUUCCCAGAAAAGGGGCUUUGGUGAACACCUUGAGACAAACAUGCUUGGGUCUGAAGUGGGGCCUAGGAAGGGACAGGAAGCCUGCUUCUAGGGUCAGCUUGUCAAUGAGCUCACACAUCUCAUGGCAAUUAUGAGUAUAAUGUACAUUAUGAUUUAGUAUUGGGGAAAGGUUGGCUCCUAACCCAACAUGUCCUCUUGAAGGUUUUAACAGAAGGAACUGAGUAGCCACGGGAGAGUUUUGGGACCCAGAAUGCACACCCAUGAGAAUCUUAAGGCUUUUCAGCCUAUGGAGAUCCUGUAGGAAAACUUGUGCUUUAUGUCAAUGUACCAAAACUUCCCUUGCUACAAGAAUAGGUCAAAAUAAGAUAUUCUGCAAUACAGUUUCCUACUGGACAUAGGAAACAUUCUUAACUGUACCCAUGUCCUCUGUACAGGAGGAAGGGAGGUCCAGCUGUUUGAUAGCGUACUGUCGAAAAUGGUCUUAGUAAAAGCUUAUGAAAUGAGGUGGAGAGAUUGGCUUUGCCCCCACUGGACUGCUUACUUGGAUUCUAGAAUCAACUAUGGUCAACUGUAAUGCCAACUGUCCAUAGUAAACAUACCAGAUGGGCAAGGGUCAAUUGUGUUUUGAAGGACAGCAUACAUUUCUGUAGUUUUAUGGAUUUGUUCUGUAAUGGAACAGAGUUAUUCCAUGGCCAUAAUAUGCUAUAACAUGCUGAUCCCGUUCCAAUAUUUAAGUAGGUCUUAUGACAAUAUUGGUAUUAAUAAUCAGAAGUAUGAGAAACGGACUUGAAGUCUCCUUAGACUAAACAUGUGAUGGAGGUUGUCAGACCACAGGAUGGAGACUUUGAGUCACUUGGAUUCUGCUUUUCCUCUGGAAGGAAUGGAGACCAAAGGUCAGCCAUGUGCGCAGUAAACCAUGUCCCCACGAUAAAACCUCAGGACACCAGGACUCAAAGGGACCUCCAGACUGGCAGUACCCUAUGCUACUGUCUGAUGUCACUGUCAAGAAAGUUAACAUUGUUUACCAGUCUGUAAAGAGGAGACUUGGCAGCCCUGUUUCUGGAAACCCAGAGCACCCUACUUUAUCCUAUAAUAAACCAGUCAUGACUGUAGCAGCUUUCAGGGAGUUCUAGUGAAUUAGUAGAACUGAGAAUGACCUUGGGAAACCUUGAAGUCUACAGUUGGUUUGAGAAGUGAGAGGGGGGUCUGGUGGUCCUUACCCGCAAUCCCUCAGGUUCAUUUUUUGAUUGCAUUUGGACCAUUCUUUUUUCUCCCUAAACCACACUAAACAUCCUUUUGAUUGUUCCUCAGAUGCCAUUCUAACUGUAUCAUAUUCACAGUAAAACACCCUCAAGAUCUUAAUACAGAUAUAUGCAUGAAAUAAAAAGUGACUUUAAGUGUACAGUAACCAAUUUGCUUCACAUUAAUAAUUCAGCUAUUUUUAUUUGUUUCUAAACAAAAAGCAAAGAAGAUCCAUUCCACAGAGCAAUAUGCAGUUUUUAUUAAGCCCCAAGAAAAUCUCUUAAGGUUUUUGGAUUAUGAAAGUCACCCAAAUUCACGUCUUUUUUUUUUCCUACCAAAUUUCUCCUUAAAAAUUUUUUUUUCACUAAACUCAAGCUCGACGCAGACAGGAGAUAUUUCUUGCCCCUGUGGAGCAGAAGCAGGUGACAUCAUUUGAUACCCUUCAACACUAUUUCCAUCAGCUACUUUUUCUGUGGCUGUCACAUGAACCUGAUAAGAGUAGCUUGUGGGAAGGAGGAUCUUUUUAACUCACACUGUCAUGGGGUAAAGGUAUGGUGGAGGUCACACUUACAGGAGCAGGUCCUAGAGGAUCAUGAGGCUGCUUGUUCACAUCUUGGUAGACUGGGGCGUGGGAAGCCCAGGGCUGGAAGUAUUGCUGGACUAUACCUCUCAAGCCCUGCCCUCUAAGUGAGCCACUUCACCUAGAUAGGUCCCACCUCCUCUUGAAGGUCCCACAAAAAACAAUGCUAUCAGCUGGGUCCCUGAGCUGGAACAAGGCAGUAGGAGGAGCUCUCAUCCAAACCGUUACUACUAGUGUGUGUGUGUGUGUGUGUGUGUGUGUGUGUGUGUGUGUGUGUGUACAUGCUCACACGUGUGUUUGCAGGUAUGAAGGUGGGUAUGCAUGCCAGUGCUAGGGAAUGUUUUCAUUAGAGGAUGGUCUGAGGUGUUGGCCCCUGCCUCCCACCUUGCUCACUGAAGUGUAAGCCAGACUACCUGGCUUGUGAGCCCCUCAUCUCAUUUGGAAGUCCUAGGAUUACAGAUGCACUACUGUGUCCAUUCUGGGGUUCUGCACUAGGUCUUCCUGGGUGUGUUGCAAACAUUUUACCCACUGAGCCUUUCUGCCACCCCAUAAUGUAACACUUUUUCCCCCCAUAGGAAACCACAUACACUCCUAACUGCAGUACUAUUUAUUCCAGUCCAUCUGUUUAGAGUAAGUACCAUCAAGUGACAAGCAAAGAAGAUGGCAAGGGCACUGCUCUAAUGAUUGGCAGAGACUCCACACAUCACUCAUUUCAAAGUCUUCAUUCUGGAGAACAGUGACAAUCAGUGAUUCGUUGGGCACCAACAAAUAUUCUUGGUCCUCAUUUUGCAACUACCCCCUAAAAUCAAACUAUAAUAAAAAUUAAACCCAGACAGAAACAGGGCAAUCAUAAAGUGAUGAUUCAGAAUCAUGGAGAAAACCACAAAGGGAUCAGGUCCUGAUGAAAUAGUUGCCCAGGCAUCAUUUCUGUCUUUGCAUUUUCCUGCCUUUCCUGCUAGAUCGAGCUGUGGACAGUGAGCUCACAGGCUGGUGGGAUAUCUGGCUUUUGCAGUAAGUUGCAGGCAUUGGGCUAUAGUUUUGUCUCCUCCUAAGUCUCUUAACCUCACUAGUUCAGGAAACUCCGGUUCUACAACUGUCUAAACAGAGAAAGAAGACAAAACCUCCUGGUGGCCAGCAAAGUGAGGAAAAAUACAGGGGCACACACACAUACCCUUAUAGAGAGAAUUCAUGAAAUUAUCUUAAAUUCCCAAGGUUAUCACAUAUGAUUUAAUGAGGUGUAAACGUCUGACAGACAAAUUUGAACAUUUACAUGUCAAAAGGCAAUGUUUGCAAGCACAGUGAUCCCCAUUUUAGUCCAAUUUUAUGUGUGAUUACAUGAAAAUAAUUUAAAGAUUAAUUGUAUGAUAAAAUAUUUUCAAAAUGUAAAAUACAGUAUUGAUUUUGAUGCUUCUGAUCACAGAGCAAAUAAAGUUUUAUAUACACUUUUUCAAAACACUCCCCCAACUGAGUAUGGUGGCACAUGAUCUCAGCACCUGGGACAGAGAGGCAGGUGGAUCUUUGUGAGUUUGAGGCCAGCCUGGAUUACAGAGUGAGUUUCAGGACAACCAAGGCUGUGUAGAAAGAUCCUGUCUCAAAAAUAAGAAAAACAGAAACAAUCCCCUCAGGAAAACCCUCCCCCAAAUGAAAUUUAGUCUGACCUCUUUUUUGUGUCUGAUGGGUUUCCUUGGAAGUCCGUUUGUAAACAGUCAUGACACGACGCAGUUGCUAUGACUUAGGUAUUGUCUCAGGCAAGCAUUCACUGCAGAGGGGGCUGUGACAGUUCAGAUCCUCACCCCCCCCCCCUGUUUUUUUAAUCAUGGCUGUGUUGCUCAGACUUUGUUUGCGUGUCUGUUGAUGUUCCAGUGGCACAAAUACAUUCAUCUUGGCACCUUCUCUAUUUGCUCUCUAAGAACGAACUUAUCCAAAAUACCAAUUGCAGAGCUUCCUAGAUGCUCGGUGGUUAGGAGCAUACAUGGUCUUGUAGAAGAUCCCAGUUUGGUACCCAGCACCUAUGUCAGGCAGUUUACCUGCAUCUACCUGUAACUCAAGUUCAGAGUCUCUGCAGGUAUCUACUCAAGCACACAUAACCCCACCCAGACAAGCACAGAUGAUUAAACAUAAAAUCUUUUAAUGAAUAUCAAUGCCAAUGAGAUUCUGAAAUCUCACAAUUGUACUGGAAUAUAAGUAAGUUAGUUGUUGCAAUGAGCUAAACUUUACAUGAAUUUUUUUGUGUUCAAAAACCUUUUUUAAGGUUUAUUUUAUGCGUUUGAAUGUCUUGUCAGCAUGUGGGUUUGUGAACCACUUGUGAGCCUGUUGCUCAAGAAGAGGGUGUCAGAAUCUCUGGAAGUAGAGUUAUAGAUGGUUGGGAGCCACCAUGUGGGUACUGAGAACCGAACCCAGGGCCCCAGACAGCAAGCACACUAACCUACUAAGCCAUCUGUCUAGCUCCAGGCCUUUUGUGUUUAUGAUAAUCAUCACAAUGGAGACAACACUUGGGGCAUGGUGGCAUGCACUCACUUGUACAGCUAGCACCUGGGAGGCGGAGGGCACCUCCAGAACUAUGGCAAUCCCGGCGUCAGGGCAUCUAAAUCCUUCCUCUAGUCUCUUCAGGCAUCCUUCCUAUUGCACACAAACUCACCCCAUUCACAUGUAAUUAAAAACAAAGCAAAGACAAAUAUCAGCCAUGACAAUAAAAGAAGAAGACAGAGCACUCAAGGGUUCCAAAGCUUGUUACAUAGCUUUAGGAUGUCUUGGGCCCAUCUUGAAAAUGUUUGUUUACAGAUGCACACAUGUACACUUUGGUCUAACAACAUUUGCUCUCGUAGUUCUAACCAUGAGGAAACUGAGAUAAUUCACUAAGAUUGAAAGUGUGGUGUAUGAAAAUAUUUUGCACUGAAUAUGUCCCUUUUUUUGAUUUUUGUUUUUUGUUUUUUGAGACAGGGUUUCUCUGUGUAGUUUUGGUGCCUGUCCUGGAUCUCACUCUGUAGCCCAGGCUGGCCUCGAACUCACAGAGAUCCGCCUGCCUCUGCCUCCUGAGUGCUGGGAUUAAUGUGAGCACCACCACCGCCUGGCAUGUGUCCCAUUUUCUUCACUUUCUCUUUCCUCAUCCUCAGAGACUAUGUAACACACACAGAGUCUUAUUGAUAUAUGUUCCUCUUAAAGUUUUGUUGAUGUGGUCUUUUUAUUAGCAGCUUAAUUUGUUUAUUGAAAGACAGCUUCUCAUAAUAUAGACCCGGCUAGCCUCAAAGUUGGGGCGAUCCUUCACCUUGACAGUGCUUAAGUCCCUGACUUACUGUGUUGUGGAUUUUGUCACAGUGACCCUAGAAGUGUAUAUGGUCAUCAUUUGGGUAGAAGGACAUAGUACAUGCCUCAUUGUACAGCAAAGGCACAGAGCCCCUGUGGGUCUGAAAGACGGUGAGAAACUCGGAAAAUCAUCUAAAGGGAGUUUGCAUCCUUCCAGAUGUUCUGUGUCAUUUUUGACCUUUGACUUCUCAAAAGAGCCCCAAUAGUGACGUGUGCUUUGUCUGUCCUGAACCUUGGGUCCCAGAGAUUUUCUUUGAAAAUAAAACACAUAAGGGCAUUUUGUGCACCUGAGCGUUGCAUUACAAACCCACAUUGGUUGCACGUGCUUUUGUUGUUUAUAAAGUUUACAAAAACGGGUCCAGCAGUGCAUGCCCAUCCUACCAGUGUUUGGGGAGCAGAGGCAGGAGGGUUGUGAGUUUGACCGGCAUGUGUUGCAUAGCAAGAUGCUGUCUCAACAUCUGUCCUCCAAUAAAAAGCAAAAAUAAAAUGAAAUAAAAGAAAAUCCCAAACAGGAGGGGACAGAGAACAAAAGGAGAGAAGAUGGAUGUAACUAUUGUAUGUUGUACACGUGUGGAAAUAUCACAGUAAGUUCUAAUCACUGGUAUAAAUAAUAUGCAUCAGUCAUUUUAAAGUUAAAAACGAAAUAAAAUAAACCAGAAAAUGGAGAAAAGUAUUGAAAACUUGCCUGUA